CUGAAUAUUAAUGUAUUACAUAUUUGACAGGCAGCCUGCAGGUUCAGCGGACAACCCCCAGAGAGGCCUCCAAUUCCCUCAUCCCCAAUGAACCACAGAACCCCAAAGUAGUCACAAAGAGCAUCCCUGGACCCAUCUCUAACCAAAGGCUGCAGCAGCUCUCACAGAUCCAGGAGUCGGGUGCAGUACACCUGUUUGUGGACUAUGAGCAAAGUUUAGGUAACUACUUGGUGGAUGUGGAUGGUAACAUACUGCUUGAUGUCUACACCCAAAUCUCUUCUCUCCCACUUGGCUACAGCCAUCCAGAUCUUCUCAAUCUUCUAAAUGAUCCCAAGAACAUUAAAUUGUUUAUUAACCGGCCAGCUUUGGGCUCCUUCCCAGGAAGAGACUGGGUAGAACGACUUAAUAACUCACUCCUUAAGGUGAGAAAAUAAUGUACAACUUU